UGGCGUUUUUAGCUGCUGGAAUUGAAGAGAAAUGAAGAGAAAUCUAGAUAUUUCCUAUUUAGUCCUAGUUUUAUUUAGUUAAUUUUGUAAUAUUCCAAUUUUACCCUUAAUUUAUCAAUUUUUCUGCUGAUUUCAUACCCUUGCCGUCCAGCCCAAAUAACUUUUGGGUCUAAUUGUCUUUUAAAUCCUUUCUCAUUAGACUCUUAAGCUAUUUAAUCACUCUAGCAACUUUUACACCUAUUACAAUUUAGUUCUUUUUAUUUAAUUGACUACCUAAACAUUAAAAUUUCCUAACGAAAUUUUAAUACCACACUAAUAACAUUUCAUAAAUAUUUAUGAAAUUAUUUUAACUCGGUUUUAUGAGAUAGAGGUCUCGAUACCUUGUUUUUACCCAAUUUCUUCAAUAAUUUCUUUUUCUAUCUAAUCACUAAAUUGGUAAAAUUUUUCUAUCAAUAUUUUCAUACAAUUUUCCUAUCAUAUCAAUUUUCAAGCAAAAAUAUUGAAAUAAAUUUCUCUUUAAAUCGGAUCUAUGGUUACGAAACCAUUGUUCCGAUAACCUUGAAUUUAGGCCAUUACAAUAUAUUUAUACUUCUUCUUCUCUAUCCCAAGAAUCUCGCUAUCGACACCUCCGCUACAACCAUCUUUGACGUCACCAUCAUUGACCUCCAAACCACCACUCUAUCCUUUUUUUUCUUUUUCAACCCACCCAAUAGAUGAGCCACCACCAUUGGGAUCCGACUCUCUUUUUCUGUUGCCCAAAGGUAUUAACUCUGAAAAAAUCAUAUCGAAAUGGGAUUGGAGACAAUUUGGGGUCAAACUAUUAGUCCCCACAACCAAAUCGGUGAGAAGAAAAUCCUUCAAAGCAACAUUAGCAAGUCUAGGAUUGAUAUGGUAUAAACAAAAGGGUUGUCGAUUAAACUAAACAACACUAACUCCAUUGCCAACAUUAUCAAGUUGCAUAAAAUAAAGUUAGAAGCAAAACAAUGGGAACAUUAAGACAAACCAAACAACCGAUUGAACCAACGAUUUUCAGGAACAAAGGAAGUGGUUCCUCUAAAGGGACAGCCAAAUGCCGACAAGUGAAAUUUUGGGUCGAGUCAAUGAUUAGCAAGAUCCCAAAGUCGAAAUUGAACUAGGUGUUGUAGCAAAGGAGGAUGAGAGAUGGAUCAGAAGAAAAGCGACAGAGAUGGUUGAUGACGAAAAUUGGGGUCGAGGUGAGGUAAGCCCAAUUCUUGGAAAGAGAUUUGAAUUGGGUCACAGACCUAAGGGGCAAUCUGGAAAGGAUAUCGAUGCAAUUGAAAAAUCAGUCAAGCUAUAAGGCUAUGCAAAGAGAUAUAAUAAUUUUUUAUAUAUGCUAUAAGGCUACACAAAGAGAUAAAAGAUUAUGAUAAUUUUUAUAUUUAAAAAUGUAACGAUGAAGUCAAGCUUAUGUUUGUUUGUAGGGUAAUUAUUUGAUACACUAUUUGUAAAAAAAUUUAAACUUCACAAGUGGAUUAAGAGUAUUACAAAUGCUACAUUUAUUUAUAUAUUUUUUUAUUUUUUAUUACACCUUAAAAUAUACUUCUCAAAUCCUCAACUUGCUUGUAGAGUUUAAAACAAUCUACGCAUGAUAUAUGAAAUAAAUUUCCUUAUUUGUAACUUCGGUAACUUCAAACUUUGUUUUUUUAAAAUAAUCUAUGUAAUAAAAUAUAUAUAUAUAAACAUGAGUUUAAAGAAAUAUUUAAAUUAAUAUAUCAAUAUUUUUAAGUAUUAUUAUUUUAAAUAAUAUUAUUUUACAUUAAAUAAAAUUAUAUAAUUUAAUAAACUUAAAUAUAUAAAAUAAUGUGCAAGAGAUAUACACUCCAACACUUCAAAUGUUUCCUUGUAACGCGAACCAUACUGAUCCACACUGAAAUCAUUGUCACAUAAAAGGUUGAAUUAAUUUUUUUUAGUAAAUGAUGAUUUUUUGGGUACUAAUUUUUAGGCUAACGGAAGUUUUUUCGUUGAUGAAUUUUUUGGGUAAAUAUUUUUUUCGAAUUCCUUUUGUUCAUUUUGAUAAGUAAAUAAUUUUUUGUUAUGCUUUACUUAAUUUUGAAAAAUAAAAAGAAAAAGAAAAUAUUAAAUAAAAAACUGAAAAAAAGGAAAAUUUUCAAUUUAUAUAAUUUGGGGAAGAAAUAUAUAUUUUUUAAAAUAAUUUUGUAUAUUUUUAUUUUUAAAAGUAAAAUAUUUAAAAUUUCUCCAGUGAUUAUCCAAUCCAAUUUCAUGGAAGCUGAUACUAAACAUAUCCCAGGAAAGAGAGCAGCUGAAUCCAAUCACUUUUGCAGACAAAUACAGAUACAAAAAGCAUAGAUAAAUCACCUGUGCUCAUUCUCAUCUAGCACCUCUACUCCGUUAACCAAAAUCUACACGUCUCCUCUAAAAGCAGCCGUCUGAUGUUCACGCCCCAUCCUGAUUAGAUUCUCUCAGAAUUAUUUCGAAACCUGUUCACACCAACAAUCCUGGAACCAAUACUGAAAGCCACGUCACCCCGAGAAGAAGCAUGGCAAAGUUGUAAUAUAAGGGAAUAUAAAGGGCAAACUGGCAAACCAAAAUUAUGUUUUGUUUAUGUUAUAUGUGUCAGCGGACGCCAAACAAAUUCAAAUUCAGCAGAAUCUUUUUAUUUUAUUUUAUUUUUCUUAUGUUUAUUUUUUUCGAAGACCGAAAAAACACAGUGCAGAGAGGACCAUUUUUUUUUUCUCUUUUUCUUUCGUCCCAAUCAUGUUAGAUUUUCUCUCACUAAUAUAGUACAUUUAAUUUUAAUUAAUUUUUGUUUACUAUAAUAAUUACUAAUUUUUCUCGAGAGAAAAGGAAGUAGAAGUGUAUAAGGAAGAAAUAUCUCUUUUUUAAAUAUUUAGUAUAAGAGCCUUCAAUGAAAUUAUCCCUUUUUCGGAUUUAAUACUAUCUCGUAAUUGUUAUUGCAUAUUAUUCUUAUUUUGUAAUGGAUAGUGGAAGGGAUCUCAACUGAAGCUUUGAUACAUUAUUUAUAUUUUAUUCAUUAAAGCUAAAUGUGAUUAAACUGGAAACACAAAAAAUGAUCCAACAAAUAAGGAAUGAGUUGGGAAUACCAAUCUCUUUUUCACCUUUUAUCACUCACUGUUUUAAUUGAGUUUAAUAGCUAAACCAAAAGCAGUAUUAUUCAGAAUCAGGAAGAGAUUCGUGUCUCCAAACUUACCUCAAUUACAAUAAAUCAUCACUGUUUAUGAGCUGCUGCUGCUACUACUUUAAAAUAAAUGGAACUUCAACUGAAGCAAAGACAGAAAGUAAAAGCAGGUUUUUUUUUUUUCAAAAAAAGAGACACCACGGCAGAGCUGCUGCUGCUGCUACUUUAAAAUAAAUGGAAUUUCAACAGAAGCAAAAACACAAAGUAAAAGCAGGUUUUUUUUUUGGGCAAAUAAAAGAGAAUGGGAUUCAAGAAAAAGAAAAUAGGAGGUAGCUUCUUCUUUUUCUGUUAAAAGGAGAGUGGAAAUCAAAGUGAAGGAAAUGUGAGAAAUUAAGUAGAAAUUAAAGAAGAGAAAAGAUUUUAAUAUUUCCUGUAGAGAAAAAAAGAUGGUGAGAAGGGUUGCAGUGGGAAUCUUAAACAGAGAUGAGAAAAUGCAGAGCAAAGAGACAAGGAACACAAAGGGCCCUCAAAUAGCUGGAUUGAUCACAAUUAUU
rnacentral:lncRNA from 1 species